GUCUGUUUGAUAAUAUUUACAGUCUGGCCUGCCCACUGAAUUUUUAAAGGCCGCGGUAUAAUGACCGUGCGAAGGUAGCAUAAUAAUUAGUCUUUUAAUUGAAGACUGGAAUGAACGGUCGGACAAAAAGUAACCUGUCUCGGAUUUAUAAAUUGAAAUUAACUUUUAAGUGAAAAGGCUUAAAUAAUCUUAAAAGACGACAAGACCCUAUAAAACUUUAUUUAAAUAAAUCUUAACUAUAAUUUAUAAGUUUAAAAUAAAUAAGGUCUAUUUAUAUUUCGUUGGGGCGACGAAAGCAUACGUUUAACUGCUUUAUUUUAUAAACAAUUAUAUUUGAUUUAUUAUGACCCUUUUUUAAGAUCUAAAGAAAAAGUUACUUUAGGGAUAACAGCGUUAUUUUUUUUGAGAGUUCAUAUCGACAAAAAAGUUUGCGACCUCGAUGUUGAAUUAAAGUCCCACUAUAGUGCAGUAAUUAUAUAGGUAGGUCUGUUCGACCUUUAAAACUUUACA
rnacentral:rRNA from 1 species